CACAUUCCACGUGAUCCGUGACGAAGUUAACACAUUAAGCACCCCGCCUGGGGAGUACGGUCGCAAGACUAAAACUCAAAGGAAUUGACGGGGGCCCGCACAAGCGGCGGAGCAUGCGGAUUAAUUCGAUGCAACGCGAAGAACCUUACCAAGGCUUGACAUAUAGAGGAAAAGCGUAGAAAUACGCUCCCCGCAAGGUCUCUAUACAGGUGGUGCAUGGUUGUCGUCAGCUCGUGUCGUGAGAUGUUGGGUUAAGUCCCGCAACGAGCGCAACCCUCGUCCUAUGUUGCCAGCACGUAAUGGUGGGAACUCAUGGGAGACUGCCGGGGUCAACUCGGAGGAAGGUGGGGAUGACGUCAAAUCAUCAUGCCCCUUAUGUCUUGGGCUUCACGCAUGCUACAAUGGCCAGUACAAAGGGCUGCGAUACCGUAAGGUGGAGCGAAUCCCAUAAAGCUGGUCUCAGUUCGGAUUGAGGUCUGCAACUCGACCUCAUGAAGUCGGAGUCGCUAGUAAUCGUAGAUCAGCAACGCUACGGUGAUACGUUCCCGGGCCUUGUACACACCGCCCGUCAAGUCACGAAAGUCGGUAACACCCGAAGCCGGUGGCCUAACCGUAAGGAAG
rnacentral:rRNA from 1 species